CAGUUACUUCCUACGUCCCAUAUUAAGUGCUGAAAUAUUACAUGUAUCUAGACGUAUUUUAGUAUAUAGAUAUGUCCGUAUUUAGGCAAUUUUUGAAUCACUUAAUAUGGGACGGAGGGAGUAUUAU
rnacentral:pre_miRNA from 1 species